rnacentral:rRNA from 1 species
UAGAGUUUGAUCUCCGGCUCAGGAUGAACGCUGGCGGCGUGCUUAACACAUGCAAGUCGAACGGAGAUUACUUUUUAGCUUGCUAUUUUGUAAUCUUAGUGGCGGACGGGUGAGUAACGCGUGGGUAACCUGCCUUAUACAGGGGGAUAACAGUCGGAAACGACUGCUAAUACCGCAUAAGCGCACAGUAUCGCAUGAUACAGUGUGAAAAGAUUUAUCGGUAUAAGAUGGACCCGCGUCUGAUUAGCUAGUUGGUGAGGUAACGGCCCACCAAGGCGACGAUCAGUAGCCGGCCUGAGAGGGUGAACGGCCACAUUGGGACUGAGACACGGCCCAAACUCCUACGGGAGGCAGCAGUGGGGAAUAUUGCACAAUGGGGGAAACCCUGAUGCAGCGACGCCGCGUGAGUGAAGAAGUAUUUCGGUAUGUAAAGCUCUAUCAGCAGGAAGAAAAUGACGGUACCUGACUAAGAAGCCCCGGCUAACUACGUGCCAGCAGCCGCGGUAAUACGUA